rnacentral:rRNA from 1 species
CAGUAGCCGCGGUAAUACGAAGGGGGCUAGCGUUGCUCGGAAUGACUGGGCGUAAAGGGCGCGUAGGCGGAUCACGCAGUCAGAUGUGAAAUUCCUGGGCUUAACCUGGGGGCUGCAUUUGAGACGCGUGGUCUAGAGUGUGAAAGAGGGUCGUGGAAUUCCCAGUGUAGAGGUGAAAUUCGUAGAUAUUGGGAAGAACACCGGUGGCGAAGGCGGCGACCUGGUUCAUGACUGACGCUGAGGCGCGAAAGCGUGGGGAGCAAACAGGAUUAGAGACCCCUGUAGUCCCUGUCUCUUAUAC